AAGUUUGGGCUGAGGGCCACAGGGUUUGUGGCUUUCUUCUGAUCGGUCGGUGGUGAGGUCAAGGGUGGUGCCCAAGGAGGCUUGUGCUCAGCCUGAAGGGGGGGCUUUAGUUCCUGCAGCAGAGCUCAAACAUUUCGUUGUCAUGCAUACUCCUCGAGGAGGAACCAGGAGCCCGCUUUAUCGCUUUAUCACUGCAUGAUUGUCUCUUGACUGCCCCUCCUCUGUUCAUUCCCGGAACAAGUGGACUUCUACUGCCCAGAGCUUCCUGCACACCUCGGAAACCUCCUUGCCCCUCACCCGGAGAUUCUGCCAGGCAGCACGGAUCGAGGUUGAGAGUUCUCCUGGGACUUUCAGAUCACUGAUGGUCAAAGGUCACUUGGCUGCUAAGAGCAUGGGAUGUUGACAGCCUGUUCCAGAAUGAGGUGCCAAGACUGGGACAACUUAUCCAGUAUUUCUGAUGUUCUGGUCCUCAAAAGGCAGGGAUCACUGGCAUCAAAACACUGGAAUGAAAUAAUGUGGCUAAAAGGAUUCUAGCAACUUAUGGACUCAUGCAAAGCUGGAAACGGUCCCCUGUUGAAUGUUUGAGACUUCUCUGGAGGCUCUUCAAAAAUCACUGGGAAGAGCAUGAAUGAUCAUGAACAUUUACCAAGUUAAAAGAAUAUUCCUGGCUAGUAUAGAAUUUAAAACUGAAACCAAAGAAAUGACUCAAAAUGGAGCCUGGACUUCAACUGCUUCCUCAGAAGAAGGGCUGGGCGCCGAAGCAGUGCUGGUACCAUCUGUGAGGGAGAAAGAGACACUGUCUCAGAGGCCGUCCUGCGGGGUGGGCGCUGCCCUGCCCACCUCACCUCCCACUCCCCCGAAGGAAGAGGGAGCCCGUUUCACGCUCUCAGACACUGAAUGGUCUUCGGAGGGGCUCGGGUUUGUGACCCUCCUCUAUGACAAUUGGAACAAGAACCCUUGGGUAAGACUGAGCCCAGUGAACUACAAACUAUGCUUCGGUGAGGAAGACUGGGACUGUUAGGCUUUGGCCUUUUGUUUCUUCCCUCGCCUCUAGAAGAAUGGGAGGCUAGCUUUCUUAGUAAAAGGCUGCGAGUUUCUACAAAGUGCUUUUCUGUGUGUGUGUGUAAAGUCUGGGUUUCCUUAGCACCGCGCCUCAUCCCAUUAGCCACGCGGUCAGGCUGCAGGGGGCGCGGCGGGCCGGUGUCCGUGCGGAGGCCCGG